GAAACCAACAGGGAUUGCCUCAGUAACGGCGAGUGAAGCGGCAAAAGCUCAAAUUUGAAACCCUCGGGAUUGUAAUUUGAAGAUUUGGCAUUGGAGAAAGCUAACCCAAGUUGCUUGGAAUAGUACGUCAUAGAGGGUGACAACCCCGUCUGGCUAACCGUUCUCCAUGUAUUGCCUUAUCAAAGAGUCGAGUUGUUUGGGAAUGCAGCUCAAAGUGGGUGGUAAACUCCAUCUAAAGCUAAAUACUGGUGAGAGACCGAUAGCGAACAAGUACUGUGAAGGAAAGGUGAAAAGAACUUUGAAAAGAGAGUGAAAUAGUAUGUGAAAUUGUUGAUAGGGAAGGAAAUGAGUGGAGAGUGGCCGAGGUUUCAGCCGCCCCUCGUGGGCGGUGUACUGCCGACGCCGAGUCAUCGAUAGCGAGACGAGGGUUACAAAUGGGAGCGCCUUCGGGCGUUCUCCCCUAACCCUCCACACUGCC
rnacentral:rRNA from 1 species